rnacentral:misc_RNA from 1 species
GAUAGACUCCCCUUGUUGUUGUGUGAUGCCAUCUGAGAGCAAAAAAACAUGGUUGUUAAAGUGUACCUACCGAUGUGUUUGUUAUUAUAAAAACUGUGAGGACAAGCAUCUUAUCGAGAAAUGGAAGUAUAAAUGGUGCAGAUUUCCACCACUGACGCUUUGAUUAUGCAGUUUGGGCGUCUACAAACCACUUACUCUCCCCUUCUAAUUAGUUUACAUACAUGAUGUACCUCAUUUCUAGAAGUUUAUAUCCUCUAUAUCUAGACUGAAAAGUAUCCUGAGAUUGACAGCUUAAUU